rnacentral:rRNA from 1 species
GAUGAACGCUGGCGGCGUGCUUAACACAUGCAAGUCGAACGGAAAGGCCCGGCUUUUGUUGGGUUCUCGUUUGGCGAACGGGUGAGUAACACGUGAGUAACCCCCCCUUGUCUGUGUGGUAACUUCAGGAAACUGGGGCGAAUACCGGGGAGGAGCUCCUGCUGCGUGGUGGUGAUUGGUAAGAGUCGGCGGUUGGGGCUGGAUUCGCGGCUUAUGAGCUGGUUGGGGGGGUAGGGGCGUCCCAGGGCUUUGACGGGUAGCCGACAUGAGAGGGUGAACGGCCACCUUGGGACUGAGAUACGGCCCAGAAUGCAACGGGCGGCAGCAGUGGGGAAUAUUGCACAAUGGGCGGAAGUCUGAUGCAGAAACGCCGCGUGCGGGAUGCCGGCCUUCGGGUUGUAAACCGCUUUCGCCUGUGCCGAAGCGUGAGUGACGGUAAUGGGUAAAGAAGCACCGGCUAACUACGUG